rnacentral:rRNA from 1 species
CCUACGGGUGGCAGCAGUGAGGAAUAUUUGUCAAUGGACGAGAGUCUGAACCAGCCAAGUAGCGUGAAGGAUGACUGCCCUAUGGGUGGUAAACUUCUUUUAUAUGGGAAUAAAAUGUUCCACGUGUGGGCUUUUGUAUGUACCAUAUGAAUAAGGAUCGGCUAACUCCGUGCCAGCAGCCGCGGUAAUACGGAGGAUCCGAGCGUUAUCCGGAUUUAUUGGGGUUAAAGGGAGCGUAGGUGGAUUGUUAAGUCAGUUGUGAAAGUUUGCGGCUCAACCGUAAAAUUGCAGUUGAAACUGGCAGUCGUGAGUACAGUAGAGGUGGGUGGAAUUCGUGGUGUAGCGGUGAAAUGCUUAGAUAUCACGAAGAACGCCGAUUGCGAAGGCAGCUCACUGGACUGCAACUGACACUGAGGCUCGAAAGUGUGGGUAUCAAACAGGAUUAGAGACCCUUGUAGUC